rnacentral:rRNA from 1 species
UACGUAGGGCGCAAGCGUUGUCCGGAAUUAUUGGGCGUAAGAGCUACGUAGGCGGUUUGUCGCGUCUGCUGUGAAAACCUAAGGCUCAACCUUGGGCUUGCAGUGGGUACGGGCAGACUAGAGUGCGGUAGGGGUGACUGGAAUUCCUGGUGUAGCGGUGGAAUGCGCAGAUAUCAGGAGGAACACCAGUGGCCGAAGGCGGCUCACUGGCCCGGUACUGACGCUGGAGAAUACGAAAGCGUGGGGAGCAAACAGG